rnacentral:tRNA from 1 species
GGAGCCGUGCCUGAAUGCCAAAGGACCACUUUGAUAGAGUGAACCACGAGGGUUAAAUCCCCUCCGGCUCCU